rfam:Oryza glaberrima chromosome 11 Oglab11_0188_9, whole genome shotgun sequence.
AAAGACUAUAGUUUCGUACUGUUUAUAUCCAACAUUUGGUCGUUUAUUUUAUUUAAAAAAUUUUAAUGAUUAGUAUUUUUAUUGUUUAAUGAUAAACCAUGAAUAGUACUUUAUAUGUGACUAUUUUUUUAAAAAAAUUCUUCAUAUUUUUUUAAAUAAGAUAGACGGUCAAACGUCGGAUACAGAAGCCCACAACUGUAUUUAAA